CCUACGGGAGGCAGCAGUGAGGAAUAUUGGACAAUGGAGGCAACUCUGAUCCAGCCAUGCCGCGUGCAGGAAGACUGCCCUAUGGGUUGUAAACUGCUUUUAUACAGGAAGAAAUGUACCUACGUGUAGGUAUUUGACGGUACUGUACGAAUAAGGAUCGGCUAACUCCGUGCCAGCAGCCGCGGUAAUACGGAGGAUCCAAGCGUUAUCCGGAAUCAUUGGGUUUAAAGGGUCCGUAGGCGGUCUUUUAAGUCAGAGGUGAAAUCCUACAGCUCAACUGUAGAAUUGCCUUUGAUACUGAAAGACUUGAGUUAUUGUGAAGUAGUUAGAAUGUGUGGUGUAGCGGUGAAAUGCAUAGAGAUCACACAGAAUACCGAUUGCGAAGGCAGAUUACUAACAAUAUACUGACGCUGAGGGACGAAAGCGUGGGUAGCGAACAGGAUUAGAUACCCUGGUAGUCCACGCCGUAAACGAUGGAUACUAGCUGUUCGACCAACAUUGGUUGGUUGAGUGGCUAAGCGAAAGUGAUAAGUAUCCCACCUGGGGAGUACGCUCGCAAGAGUGAAACUCAAAGGAAUUGACGG
rnacentral:rRNA from 1 species